GGUUGAUCCUGCCAGUAGUCAUAUGCUUGUCCCAAAGAUUAAGCCAUGCAUGUGCAAGUAUAAACCUUUAUACGGUGAAACUGCGAAUGGCUCAUUAUAUCAGUUGUAAUUUAUUUGAUGGUACUGUACUACGUGGAUAACCGUGGUAAUUCUAGAGCUAAUACAUGCGAAUGCUGGGGAACCGGCGCAUUUAUUAGAUGGACCAGGCCGCAAGGCGGGGCGAGUCAUGAUAACUGGGCGGAUCGCAGGGCCUCGCGCCGGCGACGCAUCAUUCAAACUUCUGCCCUAUCAA
rnacentral:rRNA from 1 species